CAGGAACCUGGAGGCAGGAACUGAUGCAGAGGCGACGGAGAGCUCUAGAACAAUGACUAAGACAGACAUCGUACUCAGCACAGUACCGGGUACCUCUCACCUUAUCAUGGAAAGUGCCACCUACAGGAAGCUGUUGUCAUUUCAGCAGAAACAGGACAGGAAGUGUGACGGAACGGCAAGGAUGAAGGGGCGGAGAUUGUCGCGAAAGAGGCGCACGGGUUUUGCGAAGCGGGAGGAACUUGUCCCACGGUCCCACCCACCUCCCCAAGAUGGUGGCUGCCUCAAAGCCCAUCCAGCUGCAGCCCUACUGGAGGAGUCCCAUGCCUUUUCUCAGGCUAUCGCCUCCUCCGAACUGCAGAGGACCCCACCGAGCCCAAGUUCCUGAGGCGUCAUGGAUUUCUACAGGCUGCGUCUCCACGGUCCCCAGGAACAAAGCAAACUGUGUCUCCACCCAAGGGUUCGCCCCAGAAACCAGUGAGUGAGUUUAUUAGGCAGAUUUCCAGAGGUGUUGCUUACGGGAGCGUGGACGACCCCAAAGGGCAGGUGACGGCUUCUCAAGGCCUCAUGAGGCACCUCGUCCCUAACCUCCUGCUGCUGCGUGCUAGAAGACCACUCAGGAUCCCGAGGCACAGGCCAGUUUGUGUAGCCUUCACAUACAGAUGACGGGACGAAGAAGUUAGAUGGUAAGAACUCUCCUCAUGACCUCCUUCUGUGAGAGACUGUCAACAGUCCAUCAUGGUGGGCUCUUCCAAGCAGGCACAGCCGGUCUACGUGAUGGCAGCUCUUUUGCUUGGAGACCCUUCUACAAGAACCAGCCUUAAGCAAACUAGAAACCAGAAGUCACCACCCGAUUUUCCCACCCUCACACUUCCCCACACUCAUCCAGCUGCACCUUACCUGGAAAUAUAUAUGGAUAAGUAGGAAAAACAUAAUUUAAAAUUGAAGAGAAAUGUAAACACACUAUGGCAAAACUUGUAGGUGUUACCUGGAGGAAUAUUUAUAGACUGAAACAUAUUUAUUAGGAAAAAAGGAUUAAACAUUGACAUAAUGUAAGUACAGAUGCAGAAUUUCACUGGGAGCGGGCCACUAGCCAGCUGUAGCUGUGAAAUUUGUUAAAAGUGAAUGAAAUUAUCAAUUCAACUCUUUGGUUGCACUGAAUACACUUUAAAGGCUCAAGAGCUACAUGUAGCUGAUGGGGGACAUAGAUAUUUCCAUUCAGGCUCAAAGUCCUAUUGGAACAGAUUCUGGCAUAUUGCAGAAUAAGCGAUAAGAAUCACACUGCUUCAGAGAGAUGCGUGUGCCAUGCCAUAGUGCAUCAAUAACCCAAAGCUUAGGCCUCAGUGGACCAGCGGACAGAAGUCUUCAACAGGUAUUACCCAUGAGAGAAGGAAAGGAAGCUGGAGGGAUGGCUCAGGAGUAAGGUGCUGCUGUGAAGUCUGGGGACCCGCGUUCCCCCGACCCACACAGCGGAAUGAGAGAGCUGACUCCUGCCAGCUGUCCUCUGACCUUUACCCAUGAGAGCCCUGGUGCAGAUGUCCCCGC